rnacentral:pre_miRNA from 7 species
AUCUAGGAAGCUCAGUGUGUGGCAUCUUUAUGUGCUGUAUGCCUUUGCUCAUUAUGAAAGACCCCGAAGAAGGGAGACCCUCACUCAAGUCUCCGGAUGAUGCGACUCCCCCAAGAACUCACGAGAGAAU